AGUGAACGCUGGCGGUAGGCCUAACACAUGCAAGUCGAACGGCAGCACAGUAAGAGCUUGCUCUUACGGGUGGCGAGUGGCGGACGGGUGAGGAAUACAUCGGAAUCUACUUUUUCGUGGGGGAUAACGUAGGGAAACUUACGCUAAUACCGCAUACGACCUACGGGUGAAAGCAGGGGAUCUUCGGACCUUGCGCGAUUGAAUGAGCCGAUGUCGGAUUAGCUAGUUGGCGGGGUAAAGGCCCACCAAGGCGACGAUCCGUAGCUGGUCUGAGAGGAUGAUCAGCCACACUGGAACUGAGACACGGUCCAGACUCCUACGGGAGGCAGCAGUGGGGAAUAUUGGACAAUGGGCGCAAACCUGAUCCAGCUAUACCGCGUGGGUGAAGAAGGCCUUCGGGUUGUAAAGCCCUUUUGUUGGGAAAGAAAAGCAGCAGGUUAAUACCCCGCUGUUCUGACGGUACCCAAAGAAUAAGCACCGGCUAACUUCGUG
rnacentral:rRNA from 1 species